rnacentral:lncRNA from 10 species
GCCGGGCGUGGUGGUGGGCGCCUGUAGUCCCAGCUACUCGGGAGGCUGAGGCAGGAGAAUAUCAAGAACUCAGGAGGCGGAGCUUGCAGUGAGCUGAGAUCAUGCCACUGCACUCCAGCCUGGGCAACAGAGCAAGACUCUGUCUCAAAAAAAAAAAAAAGUCUCUCGCUCUGUUGCCCAGGCUGAAGUGCAGUGGUGUGGUCUUAGCAAACUGCAACCUCCGCCUCCCAGGUUCAAGCGAUUCUCCUGCUU